GACGUAGGAGGCGAGCGUUGUCCGGAUUUACUGGGCGUAAAGCGCGCGCAGGCGGUCGCGCAGGUCAUCUGUGAAAGCCCCCGGCUCAACCGGGCGGAUGCGGGUGAAACCGCGCGACUGGAGGGCGGUAGAGGGUGGUGGAAUUCCUGGUGUAGCGGUGAAAUGCGCAGAUAUCAGGAGGAACACCGGUGGCGAAGGCGGGUCUCUGGGCCGUAACUGACGCUGAGGAGCGAAAGCGUGGGGAGCGAACAGG
rnacentral:rRNA from 1 species